rnacentral:ncRNA from 1 species
AGAGUAGAUGUGAUGCGUUAAGUGCCUUGGGAUGGGAGGUCGCCCAAGGACGAAGGAGGAAUUCCUCCGCGGUGUCACGUCGCAGCCGCU